UGCUCCCGGCCGCCAUGGCGGCCGCGGGAAUUCGAUUAGAGUUUGAUCAUGGCUCAGAUUGAACGCUGGGGGCAGGCCUAACACAUGCAAGUCGAGCGGAUGACAGGAGCUUGCUCCUGAAUUCAGCGGCGGACGGGUGAGUAAUGCCUAGGAAUCUGCCUGGUAGUGGGGGACAACGUUUCGAAAGGAACGCUAGUACCGCAUACGUCCUACGGGAGAAAGCAGGGGACCUUCGGGCCUUGCGCUAUCAGAUGAGCCUAGGUCGGAUUAGCUAGUUGGUGAGGUAAAGGCCUACCAAGGCGACGAUCUGUAGCGGGUCUGAGAGGAUGAUCCGCCACACUGGGACUGAGACACGGCCCAGACUCCUACGGGAGGCAGCAGUGGGGAAUUUUGGACAAUGGGGGCAACCCUGAUCCAGCCAUGCCGCGUGCGGGAAGAAGGCCUUCGGGUUGUAAACCGCUUUUGUCGGGGAAGAAAUCUUCUGGGCUAAUACCCCGGGAGGAUGACGGUACCCGCAGAAUAAGCACCGGCUAACUCUGUGCCAGCAGCCGCGGUAAUACGAAUCACUAGUGAAUUCGCGGCCGCCUGCAGGUCGACCAUAUGGGAGAGCUCCCA
rnacentral:rRNA from 1 species